rnacentral:rRNA from 1 species
UACGAAGGGGGCUAGCGUUGCUCGGAAUCACUGGGCGUAAAGCGCACGUAGGCGGAUUGCUAAGUCAGGGGUGAAAUCCUGGAGCUCAACUCCAGAACUGCCUUUGAUACUGGCGAUCUUGAGUCCGGGAGAGGUGAGUGGAACUGCGAGUGUAGAGGUGAAAUUCGUAGAUAUUCGCAAGAACACCAGUGGCGAAGGCGGCUCUCUGGGACGGUACUGACGCUGAGACGCGAAAGCGUGGGGAGCGAACAGG